rnacentral:rRNA from 1 species
CCUACGGGAGGCAGCAGUAGGGAAUUUUCGGCAAUGGGGGGAACCCUGACCGAGCAACGCCGCGUGAAGGAAGAAGGAAUUCGUUCUGUAAACUUCUGUUAUAAAGGAAGAAAGACGGAUGGAGGAAAUGACAUCCGAGUGACGGUACUUUAUGAGAAAGCCACGGCUAACUACGUGCAAGCAGCAGCGGUAAUACGUAGGUGGCAAGCGUUAUCCGGAAUUAUUGGGCGUAAAGAGGGAGCAGGCGGCAGCAAAGGUCUGUGGUGAAAGAAUGAAGCUUAACUUCAGUAAGCCAUAGAAACCGGGCAGCUAGAGGGCAGGAGAGGAUCGUGGAAUGCCAUGUGUAGCGGUGAAAUGCGUAGAUAUAUGGAGGAACACCAGUGGCGAAGGCGACGAUCUGGCCUGCAACUGACGCUCAGUCCCGAAAGCGUGGGGAGCAAAUAGGAUUAGAUACCCGUGUAGUC